rnacentral:rRNA from 1 species
UACAGAGGGUGCGAGCGUUAAUCGGAAUUACUGGGCGUAAAGCGUGCGUAGACGGUUAUUUAAGUCGGGUGUGAAAGCCCCGGGCUCAACCUGGGAAUUGCAUUCGAGACUGAAUAGCUAGGGUACGGUAGAGGGAAGCGGAAUUUCCGGUGUAGCGGUGAAAUGCGUAGAUAUCGGAAGGAACAUCAGUGGCGAAGGCAGGUCUCUGGGCAUUAACUGACGCUGAGGAGCGAAAGCAUGGGGAGCGAACAGG